CGGUGGAGCAUGUGGUUUAAUUCGACGCAACGCGAAGAACCUUACCAGGGCUUGACAUCCCCUGACCGCGUAUGAAAGUACGUUUCACCCUCGGGUGACAGGGAGACAGGUGGUGCAUGGUUGUCGUCAGCUCGUGUCGUGAGAUGUUGGGUUAAGUCCCGCAACGAGCGCAACCCUUGUCUUUAGUUGCCAUCAUUAAGUUGGGCACUCUAAAGAGACUGCCGAUGACAAAUCGGAGGAAGGUGGGGAUGACGUCAAAUCAUCAUGCCCUUUAUGUCCUGGGCUACACACGUGCUACAAUGGUCGGUACAACGAGAAGCAAGUCAGCGAUGGCAAGCAAAUCUCUAAAAGCCGAUCCCAGUUCGGAUUGCAGGCUGCAACUCGCCUGCAUGAAGUCGGAGUUGCUAGUAAUCGCGGAUCAGAAUGCCGCGGUGAAUGCGUUCCCGGGUCUU
rnacentral:rRNA from 2 species